CCUACGGGGGGCAGCAGUGAGGAAUAUUGGUCAAUGGACGAGAGUCUGACCCAGCCAAGUAGCGUGAAGGAUGACUGCCCUAUGGGUUGUAACCUUCUUUUAUAUGGGAAUAUAAUGUUCCACGUGUGGGAUUUUGUAUGUACCAUAUGAAUAAGGAUCGGCUAACUCCGUGCCAGCAGCCGCGGUAAUACGGAGGGUCCGAGCGUUAUCCGGAUUUAUUGGGUGUAAAGGGAGCGUAGGUGGAUUGUUAAGUCAGUUGUGAAAGUUUGCGGCUCAACCGUAAAAUUGCAGUUGAAACUGGCAGUCUUGAGUACAGUAGAGGUGGGCGGAAUUCGUGGUGUAGCGGUGAAAUGCUUAGAUAUCACGAAGAACUCCGAUUGCGAAGGCAGCUCACUGGACUGCAACUGACACUGAGGCUCGAAAGUGUGGGUAUCAAACAGGAUUAGAUACCCGUGUAGUC
rnacentral:rRNA from 1 species